rnacentral:rRNA from 1 species
UACGUAGGGACCAAGCGUUGUUCGGAUUUACUGGGCGUAAAGGGCGCGUAGGCGGCAUGACAAGUCACUUGUGAAAUCUCCGGGCUUAACCCGGAACUGCCAAGUGAUACUGUCGCGCUAGAGUGCGGAAGGGGCAAUCGGAAUUCUCGGUGUAGCGGUGAAAUGCGUAGAUAUCGAGAGGAACACCUGAGGUGAAGACGGGUUGCUGGGCCGACACUGACGCUGAGUGCGCGAAAGCCAGGGGAGCAAACGGGAU